rnacentral:rRNA from 1 species
UACGUAGGGUGCGAGCGUUGUCCGGAAUUAUUGGGCGUAAAGAGCUCGUAGGCGGCUUGUUGCGUCUGCCGUGAAAAUUCACAGCUUAACUGUGGACGUGCGGGUGGAUACGGGCAGGCGUUGAGUUCGGUAGGGGAGACUGGGAAUUCCUGGUGUAGCGGUGAAAUGCGCAGAUAUCAGGAGGAACACCGGUGGCGAAGGCGGGCUCUGGGCCGAUACUGACGUGAGGAGCGAAAGCGUGGGGAGCAAACGGG